AUGAACACAUAUAUAUAUCCAACACAUGUUACCAAUAGUAGCAAGUUUGAUCCGUACAUAUACAUAGUUUCAUCAAUAUUACAUAGUUUCAUCCAUAGGUAGCAAGUUUCACAAGGUCAAAACAAAAACUAAAUACAAGCACUCCAUCAACCUAAGCUUCCGUGAUCUUAAGCAAAUCUGUAAAAUGGAAAAAAGAAAGUUAGAAGAAGAAGACUAGAAGAAGAAGAUUAUUAUGAUGCAACUAAAAUGUGAAGAUUAUUAUGAUGCAACUUAUAUCUGUAAAAUAGGUCAUUUUGGAGCUAAGUAAGGUCAUUAUGUCAUUUGGAGCUAGCUAAGCAUAUGAAGUCAUUUAGGAGCUAAAAUAUGUCAUUUCUUAAGCAUAUUAUGUCAUUUUAGAGCUAGUUAAGCAUAUUAAGUCAUUUUGGAGGAAAAGAUGCUAAGUAUAGGUCAUUUUAGAGCUAUCCUAGGUUAAAUAUAUCAUUUUUAAGCUAGCUAAGCAUAUUAAGUCAUUUUGGAGGAAAAAUGCUAAGUAUAUGUCAUUUUAGAGCUAUCCUAGGUUAAAUAUGUCAUUUUGGAGCUAAUUAAGCUUAUUAUGUCAUUUUUGAGCUAGCUAAGCAUAUUGAGUCAUUUUGGAGGAAAAAAUGCUAAGUUUAUGAUUAUGUUACUAGUAUCCAUAUGGCAGAGAACCCGGGCCGACAUGACUAGUCAUUGAACAAGCAGUCAGUGCAGAAUUAUACUCAAGUCAACGACGAGCUUGCCUGCAACGGCAAGGCAAAUGACAAUUGAUUUAUUACUUCUCACACAAGACAGAAGUAAUAAAUAUGUGUCAGCAAUGGAACAGAUCACAUGUUGCUUUGGUCAUAGCAUGUGUAAAACCCUACGAAAUUCUAAUAGUUUUGGGGAGUAAUAGGAGAAACACAAUAUUUAAGACAAGUGCAUGGGCAUGCGCAUCAGUGUAUAAAAUUGAAAAACAUGGAUAUCUCCCCUAAAAUCCAAAGAUUCAGGUUAGAUUUGGAUUAUUAUAUACUUUCUAAGAAUUGGUUUAGAUGCCAAGGAUACCAAUUCCCACAAAUAUCUAAUAAAUUUCUCCAUCCUAAAUGUGUGAACCUAGUGGGAUAAUAUAGCUUGCAGAGGAUCCGAUGCUACUAUCGGAUUUAGCGAAAAUAAAGAUGAUGAAGAGCAGCUUUCAAGUAUUUAGUCUAUAGACCAUAGAACCCUCUGACUGAGCUAAUUAAGCUAAAGGAAAUAAACCAUAGAUAAGAAUACAGAAACAAUUAUGAAGAUAACUGGGCAUAUAUACUAAAUAGCUUCAUCAACAAGAGGCUCGCAGUGCAAGACAAAUACAAAAUUAUCCUUUAACCAGUAACAUUUUCUACUAGCACAGUGACCAACUUAAGACUAGAAAAAUACAACUGAACUUUGCAUUAUCUAAUAAGGUAUAAUGGAUCUUUUUUUCCAUUCAAAAAUAAAAGGAGCGCUACUACCUGAAGGUUCUAAAAUUGUACUUGCAGAUGUUCUGGGAUCCUAACCUUACUUUCGUAUCCCUUGGAAUGUAUACAGUUCUAAAGAGAAUCACUCAUAUGUCCAAGGUUUGGAAACCUGAAAGUAUUCUUCAGUUAUAACUAUCC
rnacentral:lncRNA from 1 species